rnacentral:rRNA from 1 species
UACGGAGGGUGCAAGCGUUAUCCGGAUUUACUGGGUUUAAAGGGUGUGUAGGCGGACUUUUAAGUCCGUGGUGAAAUCUCCGGGCUUAACCCGGAAACUGCCAUUGAUACUAUAGAUCUUGAAUAUCCUGGAGGUGAGCGGAAUAUGUCAUGUAGCGGUGAAAUGCUUAGAUAUGACAUAGAACACCAAUUGCGAAGGCAGCUCACUACGGGAUCAUUGACACUGAGGCACGAAAGCGUGGGGAUCAAACAGG